rnacentral:lncRNA from 1 species
GAGAAGAAGAAAAGAGAAAGAGAGAAGAAAAAGAGAGAAGAGAACAAGAAGAGGAAAGACAAGAAAGAGAAAAGAAAGAAAAGGAGGAAGUGCUACUAAGAGCAAUUUUGACUCCAACCAUAGAACCCAAUCUCAAAAGGGAAGGUUUUCCAUCUUUUCCCAUCAUUAUUCACUCUUCCAGUUUUGAUUUCUCUUUCCAAUCAAUUGCCAUUUCAUAUUCUAUGCAAACAUUUUCAAACUAUGGCAAUUCAAAUCUUGAGUUAUUGUUAUNUUCAAGAAAACAAGUAACUCAAGACAAUAUUGAAUUUGAAAUUCUAACAUUUUUAAAGACUACAAAUCAAAAUACUAGGAGUCCUUAUUCUCUUGUUUUUGUAGAAAAUUUCCUCUUUGGAUUGGUAUUAAUUGAAGAUAUAUUUGAUGCAUAUUGCAGAUUCGUCUUUGAUCCAAGAAGAAGAAAACUGGAUCUAAAAGAAUAAGGCCAUUCCAAGAUGGCCAUGCUCCAAAGAAUGUAUGGUGCUUCUUCAUAAGGCGAUUGCCAGAUUUGAGGACAAAUCUUUUUUUAAGAGGGAGGGUAUGAUGGAAUCCCUCUUGGCAUAGUCCUUUUUCAUGUAUUUUUACAUUUCAUUGUAUUUGUAGCCUAGCGUGAAAGGAGCUUGGGUCACUAUAAAUACCCAGCCCUUCAUUGUAUUCCUUACUUUUGAGAUUAAUGAGAAUAGAAUUUUCUAAAUUCAGAAACUAUUCUCUCUUGAAAGUCAUAGGCUAGAGAGUCCAAGAGACCUCCUCUAGCCACCUUCCAAGCACCUCUCUCAUUUUCCAUUUUUCCAUUUUUCAAAUUGUGCUUCUCUCUCAUCAUUAACGCUACAUCACCUUUGCUCCAGUUUUCUUCAAACGAAUGGCGUCAACUAUACCAGCCACGCGUCAGCCUUCCAUCCACAUCAUUAUUCACUUUUCUAUGUCGCGCAUUCAACAAGCCAUAACUCAUUUCCUUUUUCGCUGAAACACACUGCAUUUGCUCUCGAGGUUUCACUUCGCUCAAGCCUCUCCUCGCGUUGCACAGUCCAAAUCAGGUUACCUCUCUCACUGAAUCACCAUCUUUUUCAUCUCAGAACCAUAGCAUCGUUCUUCUUCUUCAAUCUCCCACCUCAAACUAGGGUUUCCUCCUCUCACACCAUUUUCUUUGAUCUCACCGAUUGAUUUACCUUUUCCUCCGUUUGUUUUCCUUUUACUACCGUUCAAACACAUUUACACCGAUUAAUCAACCAUUUCCACCGAUAAAUCGGUCGGUUUAAUGAAUCCUCACAGAUCUAGGGUUUUCCAUAGUUCUAAACCUAGAUCUAGAGUUUCUGGUGUUCGCUCUCUAUUCUCUCAGUUUCCGGUGUUCGUAAUCAUCAUUUCCGCUGCAUCUUCUCUUCGGAGAAGCUUCGAGGAGGUUCGCAUCGCCAAUCGGUCAGCGUCCUUGGAGGCUUCUUCCAUCACUGUAUCAAGGGUGUACAAAGAGUGUACACCUAUUCUCCAUCUUGCUGCAAAAUAUGUAGAAGGGUUGUAGAAGUGGGUGUACAAAGGGUAUACAAAUGAUAUACAAUGGGUGUAGAAAAUGUGUACAAUGAGUUUAGAAACGAAGUACAAGGAUGUAGAAAGAUGUAUAAAAUCUGUGCAAAUGUUGUAAAAAGGAUGUAGAAAGUGUACAAAGGGUGUACACCCAUUCUAAAUCUUUCUACAAAAUAUGUAGAAAGAUUGUAGAAGGGUGUACAAAUGGUAUAAAAAGUGUAUAGAAAGGCUGUAGAAAUGUUGUACAAAGUGUGUACAAAGGGCCUAAAAAGGAUGUCGAAAAUGUGUUGAAAGGGUGUAGAAAGAUUGUAGAAAUGGUNNN